UAUGUCUGCUGCUAAUCUAUUGGUUAUAAAAUAUCACAGCCUUUUCUGAUUGGCUGAGUUCAAAUACAGAAAGUUUACCUGUUAGAUUGAAAUUCUGGCGUAUUGUAGAAAAUUUGCAGGUUAAUCUUGUUGUUAAAAUGAAGUUAAUGUAAUGUUCACAAACAGUAGAGUUAAUGAGUUUUUCCAUUAACAAGAAUUUCUUAAAAUAAUAAUGUAUGGAUAUCAUUUGGAAAGUGACAUGAAAUGUUGUUAAAAAGUGAUGCAUACAAGUGUUUCAGAAGUCUGUCUAGGAAUAGAACAACAACUGAAGCUGACCAGUUGAUGGAAGAUACUGCAGAGUUUGGCAGGGAAAUAACCCAAGACAGCAAAGCGGCUCUUUUGGCGCAUUUACCAAGAGGACUAACAUGGCCACAAAUUCAUGAGAUCAUGCAGGAGCCGUACAGUAUAACAGCAGUACAAGUUCUAUAAAAGAUCCACGACCUACUGAAGCCCAGCUAAUUAACAAAAAAGUUUUUAAAAACUGUAAUUUUAUCCCACCUGGGUACUUAUAAUUUACUAAGCUGCCUUCACAAGUUUUAGACUUGCAAUUAUAUUUUAAACUGUCACUUGGAAAGUAAUACAUGUACAUGCAUUAUGUUCUGAAUUUCUUUGAACAAUAAAAUUAUAUAAAAGUAUUUUAAUGAAAUUGAGCACCUAAAUUGCAUUAAAGUGAAAGUAGCUGAGAAAAAUAGUAUCCUUGUGCUCAUGGGCAGCUACAUAUAUUGUGACAAACAUGAAGUAGCUAAAAUAACUUAAAUUUUUCAUUUUGUUUCUUGUAUAUCGUUUGUACAGGGUUCGUGAAUUGUUACUGUAUAUUACUUGACUUGCUUGUAUUUUGUUACUUUGAAUACAUGUUGUUAAGGUUGCAUUAUACUUUUUAACUUUUAAAGUAGCGCCUGUUCUGUUAUGUAA